rnacentral:rRNA from 1 species
CCUACGGGAGGCAGCAGUGGGGAAUAUUGGACAAUGGGGGGAACCCUGAUCCAGCCAUGCCGCGUGUGUGAAGAAGGCCCUCGGGUUGUAAAGCACUUUCAGUGAGGAAGAACGCCUGGUGGUUAAUACCCAUCAGGAAAGACAUCACUCACAGAAGAAGCACCGGCUAACUCCGUGCCAGCAGCCGCGGUAAUACGGAUGGUGCGAGCGUUAAUCGGAAUUACUGGGCGUAAAGCGCGCGUAGGUGGCUUGAUAAGCCGGUUGUGAAAGCCCCGGGCUCAACCUGGGAACGGCAUCCGGAACUGUCAAGCUAGAGUGCAGGAGAGGAAGGUAGAAUUCCCGGUGUAGCGGUGAAAUGCGUAGAGAUCGGGAGGAAUACCAGUGGCGAAGGCGGCCUUCUGGACUGACACUGACACUGAGGUGCGAAAGCGUGGGUAGCAAACAGGAUUAGAUACCCUAGUAGUC